ACGAACGCUGGCGGCGUGCUUAACACAUGCAAGUCGAACGGAAAGGCCCUGCUUUUGUGGGGUGCUCGAGUGGCGAACGGGUGAGUAACACGUGAGUAACCUGCCCUUGACUUUGGGAUAACUUCAGGAAACUGGGGCUAAUACCGGAUAGGAGCUCCUGCUGCAUGGUGGGGGUUGGAAAGUUUCGGCGGUUGGGGAUGGACUCGCGGCUUAUCAGCUUGUUGGUGGGGUAGUGGCUUACCAAGGCUUUGACGGGUAGCCGGCCUGAGAGGGUGACCGGCCACAUUGGGACUGAGAGACGGCCGAGACUCCUACGGGAGGCAGCAGUGGGGAAUAUUGCACAAUGGGCGGAAGCCUGAUGCAGCAACGCCGCGUGCGGGAUGACGGCCUUCGGGUUGUAAACCGCUUUCGCCUGUGACGAAGCGGGAGUGACGGUAAUGGGUAAAGAAGCACCGGCUAACUACGUG
rnacentral:rRNA from 1 species